CCCUUUUUUCUUACCCCACUCCCAUUAGGCUUCCAGCCACCCUAAGCCACGAGACUGGGCAGUGUCACCAAGGAUCCCCCACUGACGAACGCCACCAUCCAACCUGGUCAGUGGCUGCUCAGGUUCUCCUGCACCCAGGAGGAUGCACCCGGGAGGAGGCUCCCGGCGCGGCUGUCUCACCUGCUUCCGGUAGACAUAGCACGCAGCGAUGGCGACCAUGGUGGAUUCUCCCACAAAGCCCGCCAGGAGGGAGCCCACGCCCAGGGUCGCACCGUGCACCCUGCAGAUGAGAACACAAAGGCAAUUUGUCUGUUAAGGCCAAGUCAAGGCACAACCGUCGAUGCCAAAACCCAGGAAAGUAAGUGUAGCCUCGAGACGGCUGAGACCAGCGGCGUUCUCCAUCUGCUGGCUUCGUAAGGGCCGCAGCUAAUAACCUAAUGUGUGAGGGGAACCAGGAACUCGGGGCUGGGCCACCUCCCUCCCACAGCACAUGGAUCCCACAGCCCUUCCCACCCUCCCCAGGACGCUGGGAGCUCCCUGAGCGCAGGGACCAUGUCCUUCUCUUCUGGUUUUCAUGUCCAGCAUACGUUCAAGCCCGUGCAGGGCCGGCCAUGCCCUGACAGGAGCUCAGUGGCUAUUAUUCGUGUCUGGGCCUGAUUUCAAAAGCACUUUUCUAAAAUGGAUCCCAAGAGCCUCCACCUGGUGCCUGGGCAGACACACAAAACAUCAUUCUGAAUUUCCGAUUCUAGACGUGCCUGGGGAUUUCCCCUGAAAAUGUAGCUGUUAAACCUCUGGACACAGUAUUGAAGUGGCAGAAGGACCCACAGCCCCAAACUCCCUGACAACAUACCCCAGGUAGGGUAGGACCACGAGGCUGGCGAUGAGGACGAUGAUCCGCAGCACAGAGCUGGGGGCAAGGACGAAGGUUUUCUUCAGUGUCAUCAGCCACCCGGUGAGAUGCGCCCUCACUGUGACUGUUGGGAGGAGCAAAGGACUCGUCAGCCGUGCCCGCCAUCCACUCCCCAUCCUGCUGCCUCUGGACCAGGGCAGCACAUCCGAGAGCCAGGGGCUGCCUAGGACCCUGGCCUUGCUGUUGAGCCGCUGGCCACCUCAUCUUCCUGCCAGGGUUCCCCAUCCCUGCUCCUGAGCCUAGGCCCGCCUCGGCUCCCCGCCUCCUCACAGCCCUUUGGAUCUAAAUGGCUGGGACCAGGCAGGCUCCUUUCUCCACUGGGACAGCAUCUUCCAGGCAGCCUAGCUGCUCUUGUCCAGUCCUGUCCCCACACUUGGCCAGCCUCGCCCUCUGAUCAUCUACCUCUAGAAGAGAACACUCAGAGAAAAGUGGCACUCUAGUGUGAUGCUGCGUGAGCAGAAAAGCUGGCAUCAGAAGCCAUCUUCCCUGCCUGCGGUCAGAGGUGUGGGGACCAAGCAGUGGGGUAGGAGGAGGAAGCUGCUCGUCCCCACUUCCCUCUGUUCUUUCCCUGGACUGGUCCUGACCACUUCCACCGAGGUCACUUCCCUUUCUCCCUCCUAAUGGUGUGGGCCCUCGUUGGUGUGCUGCCAUUUCACCAAGGGCUGCAUGGCCUGCCCAUGCCUGCCUCUUCACUGGAUCUCUGAGCUGCAGGAGGGCCAUGGGUGGACAGCGGGGAACUGUGGAGAGCACGGGGCUUGCCCUUGUCAGUAGGAAGGCCCUGAGCAUCUAGAUUCCAUCUGAAACUGGAAAGGCUUGAGGACGCGCAGGGCAGGGCCUGGGCCUUGAAGAGAGGGCCUGUUAACCUCCCUGUGGACAGCACCAGGCAAGGGCUCUUGGAGGAGGAAGUGCUCAUUCCUGGGAUAAAAAUUCCUUUCCAGGAUAUGCUGGUUUGGAAGGAAGUCUUUGCCGUCUUCUUGGUCUAACAGUGUGUCCUGCCUUCCUCUGGGUGGAAGCCUUAUAUUAAUACUAACGAGGCUAAUUUUCUUCUCUUAGGCAGGCAGACAGACCCACUGAGGUUUUUGACCAAAGGAGAGAGUCAGGAUCCCAGGCAUAUGCUAAACUGGUUGGCCCAAAUCCAACAGAUUGCAAAGAGUGGCAGGGCCUGGCAGCUGUCUGGAAGCCCUUCAUCUUACAGACAAGGAAGUGGUGUCAAAUGGACAGUAAAGGUGAAUCACAUACUCAGCUAUAGCCUGCUCCCAGCUGGGGCACUCCAGGCCCCUCCUCUGGUCACUACUGUAGAAAUUAACUGCAUGUGUCUCAAUCUGCGAGUGCAGCUGCUUCUAGAUGGUGGCACCUUCCAGAGCUUGGUUCGCCCUGUGUCUACCCAACAAGUACAGAUGCCAUCCCGGUGCUGUGAUCUUCCAGCCAUUUCUCCAUUUCUGUCACAGCCCAGAAAGUGACGCCGCAAGGCCUUAGAGCAAGGGCCGUUCCAUCAGCCCUGGCCUACCUGGGGCUCCAUGGCUCCUUUCUUUUUCUUUUUGUUUUGAGACGGAGUUUCACUCUUAUUGCAGAGGCUGGAGUGCAGAGGUUGCAGUGAGCCGACAUUGUGCUACUGCAUUCCAGCCUGGGUGACGGAAUGAAACUCUGUCUCCAAUAAAUAAAUAAAUAAAUAAAUAAAAUAAAAAGUUA
rnacentral:lncRNA from 1 species